rnacentral:lncRNA from 1 species
GAGUAUACUUUUGACAUUAAUAUUUGAUUUAUCCCUUCGAUUAUCCUUUAUAGAAAUAAAUAAAGUAUUUUGGUAUGAGAUAUUUUAGAAAGAAAAAUAUUUGGGAUUUUUAUAUAAUACAACCGCCUCCAAAUAAUAUUUGACGGACCGGCCAAAUAUGCCAAAGCCCAAGAAGAUUUUAGGCCACUUAAUUAGAAGGAACUUGGCCAAAGACCAACUACCUUCUAUGAGCCGGACGAGAAACAAACUAACGGAUUGGCAAUUUUCAAGAUACCUUCUAGUCCAUCUAUAUCAUAUAGGUGUCAAACGGGCCGGGUUGACCGGACCUAGACCGGCCCGACCCGGCCCAAUGCUUAGGGGGCUG